rnacentral:tRNA from 1 species
GGCGAGGUGCUGGAGUGGUUGAACAGACCUGUCUUGAAAACAGGUAUACCCGAAAGGGUAUCGUGAGUUCGAAUCUCACCCUCGCCG